AGGAGGAACAACCCCAGUGGCGGUGGCCAGCUCUGGAGCCCUGGAGUCAGCUCCCACAGUAACUACGGAGCUCUCAGCCUGUAGGGACCUGGAUGCUCCGGGGACGG
rfam:Canis lupus familiaris chromosome X, whole genome shotgun sequence.